UUGAACGCUGGCGGCAUGCCUUACACAUGCAAGUCGAACGGUAGAGGGGCAACCCUUGAGAGUGGCGAACGGGUGAGUAAUAUAUCGGAACGUGCCCAGUCGUGGGGGAUAACGCAGCGAAAGCUGCGCUAAUACCGCAUACGAUCUAUGGAUGAAAGCGGGGGAUCGCAAGACCUCGCGCGAUUGGAGCGGCCGAUAUCAGAUUAGGUAGUUGGUGGGGUAAA
rnacentral:rRNA from 1 species